GCCAGGCGCGGUGGUGCGCGCCUGUAAUCCCAGCUACUCGGGAGGCUGAGGCUGGAGGAUCACUUGAGCUCAGGAGUUCUGGGCUGCAGUGCGCUAUGCCGAUCGGGUGUCCACACUAAGUUCGGCAUCAAUAUGGUGACCUCCCGGGAGCGAGGGGCCACCAGGUUGCCUAAGGAGGGGUGAACCAGCCCAGGUCGGAAACGGAGCAGGUCAAAACUCCCGUGCUGAUCAGAAGUGGGAUCGCGCCUGUGAAUAGCCACUGUACUCCAGCCUGGGCAAUAUAGCGAGACCCUGUCUCUA
ensembl:misc_RNA Metazoa_SRP Metazoan signal recognition particle RNA